rnacentral:rRNA from 1 species
AUAUCAAUAAGCGGAGGAAAAGAAAAUAACAAUGAUUCCUCUAGUAACUGCGAGUGAAGAGGGAAAAGCUCAAAUUUUAAAUCUGUUAGGUUUACCUAACCGAGUUGUAAUUUGAAGAAGCGUUUUCUGCGAAUUUGGUUAGUCCAAAUCCUUUGGAAUAAGGUAUCAUGGAGGGUGAGAAUCCCGUUCGGUUAACCAAAGCGCUUUACGAUACGCUUUCAAAGAGUCAAGUUGUUUGGGAUUGCAGCUUAAAAUGGGAGGUAAAUUUCUCCUAAGGCUAAAUAUUGGCGAGAGACCGAUAGCGCACAAGUA